rnacentral:rRNA from 1 species
UUGACGGGGACCCGCACAAGCGGUGGAUGAUGUGGUUUAAUUCGAUGCAACGCGAAAAACCUUACCCACCUUUGACAUGUACGGAAUCCUUUAGAGAUAGAGGAGUGCUCGAAAGAGAGCCGUAACACAGGUGCUGCAUGGCUGUCGUCAGCUCGUGUCGUGAGAUGUUGGGUUAAGUCCCGCAACGAGCGCAACCCUUGUCAUUAGUUGCUACGAAAGGGCACUCUAAUGAGACUGCCGGUGACAAACCGGAGGAAGGUGGGGAUGACGUCAAGUCCUCAUGGCCCUUAUGGGUAGGGCUUCACACGUCAUACAAUGGUCGGUACAGAGGGUUGCCAACCCGCGAGGGGGAGCUAAUCCCACAAAGCCGAUCGUAGUCCGGAUCGCAGUCUGCAACUCGACUGCGUGAAGUCGGAAUCGCUAGUAAUCGUGGAUCAGCAUGUCACGGUGAAUACGUUCCCGGGUCUU